UACAGAGGGUGCGAGCGUUGUCCGGAAUCACUGGGCGUAAAGGGCGCGUAGGUGGCGGCCCAAGUCUGUGGUGAAAGCUCGCCGCUUAACGGCGAGUCGGCCACGGAGACUGGGUGGCUCGAGCACUGUAGGGGCAGAUGGAAUUCCGGGUGUAGCGGUGGAAUGCGUAGAGAUCCGGAAGAACACCAGUGGCGAAGGCGGUCUGCUGGGCAGUUGCUGACACUGAGGCGCGACAGCGUGGGGAGCAAACAGG
rnacentral:rRNA from 1 species